CAGUUGUCGUGCCAACGGCAUAGCUGGGUAGCUAUGUAUGGACGGGAUAAGUGCUGAAAGCAUCUAAGCAUGAAGCCCCCCUCGAGAUGAGAUUUCCCAACUUCGGUUAUAAGAUCCCUCAAAGAUGAUGAGGUGAAUAGGUUUGAGGUGGAAGCGUAGCGAUACGUGGAGCUGACGAAUACUAAUCGAUCGAAGACUUAAUCAAU
rnacentral:rRNA from 1 species